rnacentral:lncRNA from 1 species
CUCGUUGGUGAAGUGCAUUAUACAAUAGUCCACUUGGUUUUUGAUAAAAAAAAAAAAAAGAAUAAAAAAGAAUAUAAGAACGAAAUCCGAAACUUAAUUUUAUACAAAAGUUUAUGCAUUUCCAUAAGAGAUGUAUUCCAAUUUUUGUUCCUUGAAGAAGUUUUAGACAUUAGCAUAACUUAGAUUAUGGAGUAAGAGAUCCUCGUCGGAAGUCAACAAACCUUUUAAGAUGCACUCUUAUCCGAAGACAAUACUGUCAAUGUAUAAUGAUUAUCAGUCUCCACAUAAGGGAAGAAAGGAAAGAAGAAGAAAAAAACUUUUAAUUCCCUUGGCAUUGCUGCCAAGUCUAGAGAAAUCUGGUCCCUUGAGUCUUGACUCGAAACAAAUUAUCUCGAAGAGAAAAGAAGCAAGUUGGAAGACUUUUUCCCUCCAGGUGUUACCUUAAAGUAAUCGAUGCAAAUGAUUAUCCAAUUGUUUUCUUGUAAGUUUCUUUGACAGGCUAAUGUGCUUUAGACACCGAUAUGAUAAUGUACCCUUUAACCGAUAAGCUUUCGCUAUGUCGAACAUGAUCAUUUUUAUAUCGAAGGUAGCGGUUAUACGCUUAAUUUAAUACUAUCUCGCCUGGUUAAAGCUACUCGACUCAUUCCGAAAUUUAUUAAUAAAAUAUUACAGCCAGCAAUUUUGUUUUUUAUAUAUAUACCGGUAUAUAUAUUUCUUUCUUUGGUGCUGAAAUUUAUUUUGUUUUUUAAGUAGAUAAAUGUAAAAUAUUAAAUACCUUAUCAAUUUUAUACGCAAAAUAUUUUAUCAAUUAAAAUUCUGUUGUUGUUGUUGUUAUUAAGGGCCGGUUCCACUUACGGAAAAGUCGCUAUGGAAAAUAAUUACGUAUACAGAAUGUAUUUUUUUUUUUUUCGGGAUGGUUUUCUUCAGUGUGUUCCCAACUAAUCCGG